UUAACUGCAAGUAGCCUAAGGUGUCGAUUAUUAUUUUCUCCAGCAGUGCAAUUACUUUGUAGGAGUUGCUUCAAGCCGUGAAAUCAGUCACAGGUUGCACUGUUUUGCAGCGUCUCAGAGCGAGGGUCUUUGGUGAGAGCGGUUCACUGUCGCUGUCGGACCAGUUUACCUCAUUGUGCGUUGACAUUGCGUCGUCAGACACAUAGGCGAGACAUAAUAGAGCUUGAGUGCCUGAAUUUAAAUCAUUCUUGGCCGACUGUACAUGCAGAUUGCAUUUAGUUUAGCAUGGUCAAGCAAUUGUUAUAAAGGUUAUAGAGACCAAAGUGCGUGGGAAAAAAAUGGAGAGAGAAACGACAUCUUUGAAGCAGCAAUAUUGCUGCACAACUGUUAUGAACGUUAUCUCGUCUUUAUUCUCUGUAGCGUCCCUUGCCUUUUGCAUAUUAUUAAGUGUACAAACAUCAGCGAUCGCGGACAGGGUCCUGGAUUUGGAAACUGGACAUGGCGAGCAAAUAUUUCACAGGGUCCCCAGUUUUUCUGUGGAUCAGUUUAAUUCAUUGAUUCAAGAGAGAGUGGAUGAGCUCCUGUCACAGCGCUCCUAUGAAAAUUUAUCGAAGGUACGGAUUGCCCGACAAGUCAGCCAUACUCCUGAUUGCAACUGUCCCCCAGGCCCGCCAGGAAAGCGGGGAAGAAGAGGCCGGAAUGGCGAACCUGG